CAGCGCCGGCGCCCGGUGAGGAGACGGAAGAAGGAGGAGGAGGAGGAGGCACCCGGGGCCGCCGCCGCUGUCUCGGUCACCUCUAGCGCCGGCGCCGCACCACUUCUCGCGAUACUUCUCGCCGCCACCGCCUUCGGCGGCAGCAGCAACCGCGGCGGGCGCCGCUCCCGCCGCCUCCGCCCCGAGCUCGCCCGCCCGCCCCUUCCUUCCGUCCUUCCUUCCCUCCCUGCCUCCCUCCCUCUCUCCCUUCCUCCGCCGCCCCGGUUCAGCGCGGCCUCGACCCGGCGCCGCGCUCCCCCGCCGCUCCCCGCUCCGCCGGCGGCAGCCUCCUUGGCGGCGCCCCCCCCCCCCCGUUUCCUCCUCCUCCUCCUCCUCCUCCACCGUUCCGUGCGUGCUUCAGUCACGGCCCCGGCGCCGGAACCACCGGCAACGUCAUCACCGUCCGCGGCGGCGCUCUGAGGCGGUUUCCCUCCCCGCCCGCCCUCGGACUGGGAAUGGCGGCCAUCUCCUCAUCCCCACCCCGCGGGGCUAGCUGCUCUGUGGAACGGAGGGCAGGGGGAAAAGCCGGGGAAGGGGGAGGUCUGGGGGUCGCCGUCGGAGAGAGAAGGUGGUUGGGCAGGGCGGCUGCUAGGCGGCCGCUCUGUACCGGCCGAGUUGCAGCGUCAAACGAAAUGGCAGGAGAGGGCAAGUUUCCUGUGAGCAUCCCAACUGCUGUGGCCUUGUGAGUAAAGGAAGUAAAGAAAAUCCAGACAGAUUCAGGAUUUAACAAGAGCGGUGCUAGCCUGGAGGAACUGCUUAGAGUUAGAGCAGCUUGGUUCAUCAAGGGACAGCACCUCUAUGUAUGUGGAAGGUAAAGCAUUUACAUUAAUGCUAACACUCAAACCCGCCAAGUACGAAGGCCCAUUUGGGAUUGACUUCUGCCUAAGUUUGGCAUGGUAAACCAGGUGAUUUUGCCAUUUGCUAUGCUUAAACAUGAUUGGUGUCAGUUUGAAAUAACAUAUAUCCCACCUGAGUGUCUUGAAAAGUAUUUGUAUUCCAUCUCAGACACUGAUAUUACAUGUUCUGGUAGUUGCCCUUAAACCUUAAUACAACAUCAUGCCAGCUUUGACCACUUCCUCACGGUCACAAUUGGGAAAGUAAAAACAAGUCCAGAAAGCAAAACCUUUUGAAUAUUGAUUCACUGAAGAAAUAUGCAGGUGUUCUUGUUAAAAAGAUAAAGCGCAGUUGUCCUGCAGGAAAUGAUGGCGUUCCAUCCAGUUAAGUCUUUGCUAACAAAGACUAACCUUCUCCUUGUUUCUGAUGUCAUCACUAGAAGCGAUGGCCAGUGGUGUUCAUCCACCCACAAGGCGUUUAAGUCCAGAGUGGUGUUUGAUACCAGGGCACUCGCUGGGAGGCCAGUAGGAGUGCUGGAGACUUUCAGUCACAUGGAAUAGUUCUGGUUUGCUUCUGAAUGUUUUGAUGCCUACCCAUACACUUGGAGUUGGUUCAGGUAGUUCAGUGGGGCUUACUCACUGCUGCUUCUGGUGUGGUUUUGAGGGAAAGCGCUCCCAAGUUUGGAAUGCAGUUUUUUCAUCUUGCCAUUUUCACUUGAGUGUUUAGGCAGAGGCGUGCAUGUUAACGUAACAGUGAGCUAGCUAGCUGUGGCCAUGCUGGCCUAGUUUUUCAAAAAAAUCUGGCAAAUGUUAAAAAUACAAUAAUGGCACAAGUGUAAACAGUGAUAUAUAAUAACACCAUGACUGUUUGGGGGCUGGAAAUUCAGAGUUCUGGUUAGAGACAUGUGGCUUGGAAACAGUCUUCCUGCAAGAGUACUGCAAGCAAAAGCCUACAAUUUAAGACAGCACUUGAGAAAUCUGUGUACAGUGUAGGUGAUACAAGAUGAUUGACUUUUACAAAGAAGACUGAACUGAAACACUGAUGGCCCUGGAUAGACAUUAGGCAGGCAGCCGUGAGCCUGAUGGGUCAAAGGGAAGCAGUACCUUUUGUAUUAAAAUUAAGCUUUUGAUGUAAUUUUUGUACUUUGUGGUUUUUUUCCAGUGAGCUUUACAAACUAGUCACUAUUUUAUACCCUUCUCUAUGGCCCCAGCACUACCCAGCAGGUAACAGUACUUUGAACUUGAAAUUCUAAAGGGUUCAUUAGCUAACAAUUGACCUAAAGUGUUAAGCUAGAAAGGCAUUUCUUCUGUAAUGUAUUUAGUACUUCAGCAGUCUGUAUCUUCUUUAAGAAAUAGCUUAAGCACUUGGAAUCCUAAAACUUAUUAGUACUCUGAAAGACUUACAUUUUUACGUGAAUAAAUGAUUUUUGAGAGUAGGUUUCAGGUUCCUAAUUUGCUUCACAUGCUUUUGAAAUGCUUACCCUUUGCAAGUAUAAAAUCAAAAAAUACCAUGGCAAAUUGAG
ensembl:lncRNA